CCCAGGGAUCCCUGCUUUCAUGUUUAAAGAACUAAAAGAAGAGUCGCUCCAGGCAAGAAGACCCGGAGCCAUCAAUGCUGAAACAAAAAGCAAAGGAGGAUAUGGUCACUGGAUAUAGAAUUCUGGAUCAACAGUCCUUUUCUCUCAGUGCUUGAAAAUUGUGCCACUUUCUUCUGGUCUCCGUGGUUUCUGAUGGGAACCCAGCAGUCAUCCAAACUGUUCUUCUCCUGAGUCCUCUGUCGGCCUCUUCACAGGUGAGAUCAUACAGAUUCUUAGUUCUAAUGGUGUCUUCUUAGCUUUGCAUCCUUUGUCUUGGUCAUAGAAUUUACCAUUUCUGUGGGGCAGGUUAAAGGGGAUCUAUCUGCUGUGCAGCUUCUGCUGUUAUAUACAAACAUCACAGAAUCACAGCCACACUUUAAAAAAAAAAAUCUUUAAAUAUACCGGUAUCUGGGGGAAUCUUCUUUGAGAUAUUCCUAUUUUUAAAACUAGUGAUAAUUCUAUUUUAAUGACUUUUUCCACUCUAUUUUUAUUUUGCCAGAGAUUCUAUCUACAUGUCAAGCCUCUCAAAAGUCUAUUAACAUCCCCAAAUUGUAAGAGUAAGAAAUUUCUGUUCCUCACAGAGCCCCAAUAUCUGGCAAAUGUGUCAGAGAAGUCACGUAGGCUGUAGGGAGGUGUCAGAGAUAUAAGUGGGAAAUGAGUCUGAACUUAAAAAGCAGGGAUCAGGUGCUAAUUGUAUUCAACAAGACAGGAAAGAUCGAGAUAUUCACUCUUAGAUGUGGAUCAAAGGGGGACUAGAUUAAAGGGAUCACCUCUUGUUUAGUAAGUUAUUUAGUUAUUUAUUUCCAUGAUCUCAACUCCUCAUCUUGAAUGUUGAUUUUAAAGUGGUUUCUAAGUCGGAGUAUGAUCCAUAUUGCUAAAACUUGUUUACCCCUAAAUGAUUACAUAUUAAUAGGCAUGUGUUACU